CCUACGGGGGGCUGCAGUGGGGAAUAUUGGACAAUGGGGGGAACCCUGAUCCAGCCAUGCCGCGUGUGUGAAGAAGGCCCUCGGGUUGUAAAGCACUUUCAGUGAGGAAGAACGCCUGGUGGUUAAUACCCAUCAGGAAAGACAUCACUCACAGAAGAAGCACCGGCUAACUCCGUGCCAGCAGCCGCGGUAAUACGGAGGGUGCGAGCGUUAAUCGGAAUUACUGGGCGUAAAGCGCGCGUAGGUGGCUUGAUAAGCCGGUUGUGAAAGCCCCGGGCUCAACCUGGGAACAGCAUCCGGAACUGUCAAGCUAGAGUGCAGGAGAGGAAGGUAGAAUUCCCGGUGUAGCGGUGAAAUGCGUAGAGAUCGGGAGGAAUACCAGUGGCGAAGGCGGCCUUCUGGACUGACACUGACACUGAGGUGCGAAAGCGUGGGUAGCAAACAGGAUUAGAUACCCGAGUAGUC
rnacentral:rRNA from 1 species